GCAAACUUGGUCAUUUAGAGGAAGUAAAAGUCGUAACAAGGUUUCCGUAGGUGAACCUGCGGAAGGAUCAUUACAAAACAAAUCCACGCACCCUGUUGAAUAUUGACUGGCUCGUGCUGCGCACUCGUUGCGAGGCGAUCACUCGAUCGAUUCUGGCCGAGUGCGCAGCACGAGCAAAGUAAAAAAAACGCGACGAUGACAGAUGGACACCAACAGACACCACUUUUAACAAUGGAUCUCUUGGCUCUUGCAUCGAUGAAGAACGCAGC
rnacentral:misc_RNA from 1 species